rnacentral:rRNA from 1 species
AUUGAACGCUGGCGGCAUGCCUUACACAUGCAAGUCGAACGGCAGCACGGGUGCUUGCACCUGGUGGCGAGUGGCGAACGGGUGAGUAAUACAUCGGAACAUGUCCUGUAGUGGGGGAUAGCCCGGCGAAAGCCGGAUUAAUACCGCAUACGAUCCACGGAUGAAAGCGGGGGACCUUCGGGCCUCGCGCUAUAGGGUUGGCCGAUGGCUGAUUAGCUAGUUGGUGGGGUAAAGGCCUACCAAGGCGACGAUCAGUAGCUGGUCUGAGAGGACGACCAGCCACACGGGGACUGAGACACGGCACAGACUCCUACGGGAGGCAGCAGUGGGGAAUUUUGGACAAUGGGCGAAAGCCUGAUCCAGCAAUGCCGCGUGUGGGAAGAAGGCCUUCGGGUUGUAAAGCACUUUUGUCCGGAAAGAAAUCCUUGACUCUAAUACAGUCGGGGGAUGACGGUACCGGAAGAAUAAGCACCGGCUAACUACGUG